GUGCUUUUGUGGGAUAAUUCUUUGCUCUUUCCCAAUCUGUUGGCGUUAAACCUAAAAUUGCACUAUGAUGAACUUUUUUUUUUUAAUCAAUAUGAUAAUGACAAUUGGGUCUGAAAGCUCUGGUAGGAGUAGAGCGGGAUCUGGCCCCCAUUGCCAAAAUAACUUCUCGUUCUGAGAUAGUUGGACUCCUUUUGUGUGGCUUUAAUACCUUUUCUUCCCUGACAUCGAAUAUUGCUCAAGCUGGAAAAUGAUGCAUCUUUGUAGGGGAGGCUCGUAUGUCACAGCCAGAAAGUGAAGCAGACCGAUUGGUUGUGUGAAUUAUCUGACUUGCUGCAGUGAAUUAUUUGCACUGUUUCCCUACCUAGUCAACAAGUUCCUGAGGUAUAGUAGAGAUCAAUCAAAACUGACAGCCUGUGUGUGAAGGCUUUACUGUGUAAAUCUGGCGCACUCAUCCUGGCCAUGCCGGCCCUGGCAUCUGUAUAUCAUUUUUAUACUGCUACCAGUAGAGCAAUUUCAAAAGUAUUUGCAAGGAAAAUGCGUGUCCCCAUCUGUUCCUGGAAGCAUAAAUGUGCCACCUUCAGAGGGUUUUCACUGGUAAUCAUAUCUUUAAUGAUCAACAGACUAGUGAUAUAUACCUUUCCAUAAAAUGGGAUUUUCUUCACUUUAUUGUGAUUGGCUAGAAUAAAUAGCUUUUCCAUAUGUUAGGGAGAUAAAAUAUAAGAUUAGCAGAGGUCGUUUGUUGGAUAGUAAACAAAAGAAACAAUUCAUUCCAAAUAAUCUUUGAAAAGAAGCAACGACAAAAUUAAGUUGCAAUCACAGAGUAUCUGAGGCCCCAACAUUAGAAAACAGACCUCGUUCCUCCUUGGAAAAAGAGCCGUUUAAGAGCAGAAACUCAAUAAUCUUCUAGGGGACUCUGGUGACUUAUUCUUCGAGUCAGAGGGAGAGGGCCAGGGUAGGGAAGGAGAGGCUGGAAUAAUACUGUUUGUUCAGCUUCUGUUGUAGGAUUGUGUUUCCUUUCGCUCAUCUUAGGUGCUAUUUGGCCACCUCCACUGCAGCACCCUGGGUAAAUUGGUAGGUGGUAUGUUCAGAAAGCAGGAAAAUGCCACUCUGCUGAAUUUCUCUUCAGGCCUUUCAAGAAGAUGGGGAUUGUUCACAUACUUUAAAAUAAAAGUUAACUUCCCCUAGCUAGAGAUUUCUCUUCUCCCAUAGAAAAACAAGAUGUCGGAGGGUGGGGCAAAGUUCCCAGCUUUACAUGAAAUUCCAAAACCUAGGGAAAGGGGCCUUAAGAGGUAGCCAAAACUUGCGGGAGAAACCCCAGGAAAUGUUCUUAGUCAUCGAAUCUCACCUGCAUAGGUUACGGUCUGCAGAUACAAUCAGUCCCUGACCACUAUCCCCCCUCCUCCCACAAACCCACGCUCAGCACCAGGAUCCCUUCUGCUCAGAUGGAGCAACUUUCAGUUUUUCUGUUUGUUUGUUUUUUUCUGUUUUUUUUUUUUUUGAAGCGCUGUCUUGCUCUGUGGCCCAGGCUGGAGUGCUGUGGCAGGGUAUCGGCUCACUGCAACCUCCAUAUCCCAGGUUCAUGGGAUUCUCAUGCCUCAGCCUCCUGAGCAGCUGGGAUUACAGUUGCCUACCUCGACACCCAGCAAAUUUUUGUAUUUUUAGUAGAGACUGGGUUUCACUAUGUUGGACAGGCUGGUCUUGAACUCCUGACCUCAAGCGAUCUGCCCACCUCAGCCUCCCAAUGUGCUGGAAUUAACAGAUGUGAGCCAUCAUGCCCGGCCUGCUGAACCAUCCUGGUGAAAUUUGAAAGCUUCUCCUUCAAGAUUCAGGACCCAGAGGUUUGGAGGCAGUGACUGCUUGCUUAGGAGACUACAGUUCUAUUUUGUUUCCAGGGUCAGGACAGAACUUCCCAUUCCAUAAAGGACUGAUAUUAAUUGCAGGUCACCAGAAUCUGAAUGAUGCCCUGAGCCUUUGUGCUCUCUGGAAAAUAGGUGUGAGCUUUGUGGACCUGCUCCCUAGUGUCAGGACUUGAGAAGGAAUUGGGGGAAGCUCUCUCUAAACAUUGGGAACAGACCCUGUGUGUAGGUUGCAGUUCCUCUGAUUCUACAUUCUUUCCUAUUGUCUCUUGUUAUGCAUAUGUUAUGUAUUGACGAUCUCCCACCCCUCAUCCCCGCUACCCCAACCGUUGUUCCACAGAAUUCUUUGCUCUCGCUGCAGUGGAGUGUGUAGCAGAAGCGUGUUAGUUUCAAUGUGGGAAAUGUGGUCUGUAGGCAGGUCCCAAGGAGAAAGUUUCCAUUAGCAUCUCAGGCCAAAUUUGUGUUUAUUUCCUGGCCCUAGAGAGACUUGGGAAAAACUUCUAGGACAGCGGAAAAACAGCUCACCCAAAGCUCAAGGUGAGAAAAAAAAAAAGGGUAACUAAGGGAAGGUUUUUUUCUUCUUAAUUUUAGAAACAGAAUCUUCUGUUGUUGUUGUUGAGACUGAAUUUUCCUCUUGUUGCCCAGGCUGGAGUGCAGUGGUGCGAGCUUGGCUCAUCACAACCUCUGUCCCCCAGGUUCAAGCAAUUCUCCUGCCUCAGCCUCCCAAGUAGCUGGGAUUACAGGCAUGCACCACCAUACUCGGUUAAUUUUGUAUUUUUAGUAGAGACAGGGUUUCACCAUUUUGACCAGGCAGGUCUCAAACUCCUGACCUCAGGUGAUCCACCUGCCUUGGCCUCCCAAAGUUCUGGGAUUACAGGCAUGAGACACACCUUGCCAGGCCCAGAAACAAAAUCUUUAUAGGCUAGGUUGCACAUAGGCAGGUAUGGACAUUUAAGGCGAGAUUUACAAGUAAAUCACACUUGAAACCACAUUUCCUAAAAUAUGCAAUUAGACUAAAAGAAAGUCACAUUUGUGUUUUCCACGUUGUGAUGUGAUACACUGCAGGUCUUCAGUGAAUUCGCUUGCCACAAGGAAAUUCUGGCAUGUGUUGUAGGUGAAAUGUGAUGUGUACUCAAUUUUUAAAAUUGAGUUUAUAUGUCUUUAAAUUUGAUACACACAUUUUGUAUUGAAUUUCUAUGUUAAUUGUUUUCAUAACAUGAAAGGAAGUAAAAACCUCACCAAUUGGUUUGGUGUAGGAGAGGUAAAUCUGUGACAUUUGCUUCUUCCUUUGUCCAGGAGGAUGGGGCUCUCUCUACUACAGUUGGGACAGUUUCAUACUCCAGGCUCUUUUGCUAUGCCAGAGGGUACUGUCUAAUCCACAAGCCUCUGCCAGGAAUGUUGCCGUCCACACUGGAAUGGAAGACACCUGCGGAGCUCCUCUAUGGGGCUCAAGUUGGCUGAGGUUCUGAACCACAGAAUUGCAGGCAACCAAGGAAACGCCCCAGGCACCCAGGUUUUUCUAAAUCUUAGAUCAGAGCCAUUUGCAGCACAGAGUUGUGUGCUGUUUCAAAACCACAAACCCUGUACAUAUGUCCCUCCAUUGCAGAGGUGGAAGCCUUGGCAAAUGUAGGAUGAGGAUUGAAAAUUAAAAAACAAACACGCCAUGUUCAAGAUGAAAAUUACAUACAUUGACAAUACUGUCUCUUUUCCACCACAGUCUCACUGCCACCAAGCAGCCUCAGUCUGUGCUUAUUUCACUGAAAAUGUACUUAAUCCCAGAAAAGCUAUCUGUAUGCAAGAACAUAAUUUGUUAAUCAUUUUUAUGAAAACAAAACCCUUCUCACCUUAGAAAAAAAUAUUUAACUUAAGAUAGUUGACUAAAAUGCUAAUUUGCAAUACUGCCUCAUGAUUGUAAUAUGCAUACAUAUGUAAUAGUGUUUGUUUUUUAGGUGUCCCUUAACAAGACAGGGAUGAGCAAACUAUAUGAUGUGUGCUGGAAAGAAAUUCAGUUUUAAAUGAUCUUAAGGUUAAGAAAAAUGAACUCAAUUGAUAGUUAAGGUGAAAUGAACUUGUAAAAUUUGGUAUCAAUUACAACUCUUAUCAAUAAAACGCCACCUAGAUCUUAAUACCAAGGUGUUCAGUUAUUAGAAAAUUUAAAAUUAGGGGUUUGAAGAUUUUGUUGUUGUUGUUGUUCUCACUAAACAGCACAGAAGUAAUAGUUUGGGUCACUUCAGGCUUCUACUGGGGGAUUUUCCUCUUGUCCCAGAAGGAAGUAGCAGGAAAAUAACUUGUAUAGUUAACAGCCUCAGUCUAAAGGGUAUUAUUUCCAGGCAGAAUUUCUAGUUACCCUUGUCUAGGAACACUGUUAAGGGAUAUGUUUUCAUUUUAGGUCAGAACAACUGGGUUAAGCAUUAUAUAAGAUCUGGAGAAAAUACUGAGUUUUCCUUGUGAGGGAAGGUGGAGGAGGAAGGAGCCAAAAUUAGUUUACUGCUUGGCCAAAGGACUACUUCAGGCACCAGUGAGGAAGGGUAAUUUAGAUUUCUAGAGGGCACCCUGCCGGCCCAUUUCCUAACAGUGAGGGGGCCUGGGGUGAAGGGGGGGCUUGCGGGUAGUUGGUAUCAAAUCCCUGUCCUUCCCACUUGCGCUCAGUCAGCUUUUGCCCGAAGACGAGUAUCUUCUUCCUGGACUGCCUUCUCCCACUCCCACCCAGACACCAAGGGGACGCGACAGCGGUUUUGGGACGCUGUUUGGCCAUGUGAGUGGGCGUUCAGGAUCCCGGCCUGGGUGCCAUCCACCCCGCCACGCCGGGUUUGGGGGCGAAAGCGGAACAAGUCGGUGGGCUGGCUGGGCCGCGACUUCCGUAGCACCGGGCCGCAGACAUUGCCCGUGCCGGGAUGGCAGCCAGCCCUGCGCGAGGGAGGCGAGUUCCCCCUGCAGCCGAGGACCCCGGAAGAUGGUCUCGCUGGAAGACGCGCCCUGCCGGGCCUGGGCUUCUAAUGUGAGGAAAAACACGGAAUGACAAGUGUGGGAAAGAGCAAGCACUAAAUUACUGUCAGAAAAAUAAACGGAGUAGCACAGUGGUGCUCAGUGAUUUACGGGGGCAAUUAGUCACCACCCCACGGCGCUGCUGAGGACAGCACGGCAGCAGACGAGUCAGGUCCACGAGGAAGAAGAGGCUUUGCACUGCUCUCCAGACAACUUUUCGAAGAACAAGAGAGGAUAUUUGAGCACAUUAGGUUGCCUGUCUUCAUUCUGGGUGCCUACUCUUCACAUUAUUCCACCAACUUAAUACAUAAAUGAAUUUUUAGUAUAAUAUGAACCUGUUCUGUGUGUGUUUAAAAGCCUCCAAUGGCAACUUUUUUCUCUCCCAACUGUCCAAAGUGGGGUUUUCCCCAUCCCUUAAAAAACAAAACAAAAAAAACAUUUCUUCACUCCCAAAUUGUCCCCCUGGUGUGUGCCUUUGCUCUGUCUUGUUACGUAUUGCAUCUUGCUACAUGUUCUGCAUUUGCUCAGAGCAACUGGGUGCUAAGGAAUUUGGUCUGCUGCUCCUCUGGGAAAGUUUGGUGAGCUGGUAUAAGGAGGUGAUGAACAAGGCUGUAAACUACAGGAUGAAUGAAAAUGAUACAUAAGCUUCCUAAUAUUUGUGAACAUGUUCUUUAACAUACCAUACGUAGUUUCUAUGUAUAUGUAGCAUAGCAAAAGAAACUUGUUAAGGUAUAAUUAAGUGGUAUGCAUGCCUUUGUAAAUAUCAACCAUCAGAAGAAACCCAGAAUGAAAGGUUGUGAAAGAUCCCAGGAAUGAUAAAGACUUUAUUGACUAAAGGCCAUGAAGCUUCAUCAGGAGUUUAGUUAUCCUCACAUAGCAUUACCUAAGAAUGCUGUCAUAGUAAAUUUCUGAAGCACUUUACCUAAGAAUGCUGUCAUAGUAAAUUUCUGAAGCACUUUAUCUGUUACAAAGAACGUUUGUAAUUUCCCUUUCUUAUUUGAUCUUACCCUGGCUUUAGUCAGGAACACCUGCUCAGUUAGAAAUGUAUUCAGUGAGUAUGUAUGCAAUUGGAGAAUGUGCCCCGACACAUGCCGCCUUUGGCCUGUAUGCUGGAGUCCUAAAGAGGCAGACCAUGUUGAUGAGCUUGGUGCCAGCAUGGUGCACCAUUCAUCCUGACACAUAAUUUCUGAUAAAGAGGGUCAUGACUGGGAAAAACCUCAGAUUCUACUUGCUUCUCUUCUCCACGUUAUUAGACAUUUUCCCCCUCUUGAAUUUUAUAAGCACACUCCUUUUAAAACAAUUAAUAAUGAGUGCUGGCAUUUGAUGUAGAAUUGCGUAUUUGUAACUGCAAUGGCACUGGUUUUCAAUACCCUGAAACAAGGAAAGCAAUCCUAACCAGCAAGAGAAGCAGACUUGUUUCUGUGCAACAUCACAGGCAUGGGAAAUUAUUCAGAUAUGGAGAUAUCAGGAGUUACGUAAAUUGGAAAUGUAACCAAAAAUCUUUUCCAUCAGUGAACAAAGCCUAUUUUAAAGUGCAUGUUGCAUUUUCAGAUCUUUCUCUUGCUUUUUCCCAAAGUCACAGUAUAGUUUCUGAGGAGGGACACACUGGGAAAACUAAGCACAUAUUUAAACAAUGAAAUUUAAGGUGUAAAAAUUCUGCAUUUGUGACAAAUUUGAUGUUCACUCUUUCCUUGAUUUAAAUAGAGCAUUCUAAAAAUAUUACCCCUAUAGGGGACACAUUUUUAUAUGCAUGUUAUUUUUGUUUACAAAGUAUGGGCUAGUAGAGAGUGAAAAUGACCUUGGCUAUUGUACUUACUUAUUGAUAGAAAUAAUAGCAUCUUCAUGUCUGGAUUCAAAUCUCUACUUAUCACACGACAUCCAUACGUUUCAAAGAGAAGACCUAGACUGAAUGAUAACAGGAGUCUGGGGCUUCCUACAUUCCCCUGUGUUUGUGUUCAUACAGAAUAUGCAAUAUUCUGACUUGGUCAUAAUCUAUAAUUCCUGGCUGUUAUUCUCAGUUGCAACUAUAAAUUCUAGAUUAAUGGUUAUAAUUUUGAUAAGGCAUAAAUGAAAAGUUAUAUGUUCAUGCUUGAAAGGAAGAUCAUUAAAUAUUCAUUAUUACCACUCAAAUUAGUUGUCAUGCUCUAUAUAAUAGUUACCCAUGAUCAUUUCACUAGUUUGGAUUCAGCAAUAAGUGAACAGCAAUAUAUAGCUCAUAGCACCAGAGGACUUUUUUUUGUUGUUGGGGAACAGGGAGAGAAAUGAUUUAAAACCCAUUUGACAUAUUUAUGCUGACAAAUUAUUUAAAGGAAUUACUGUGUUGUAAUAAACACGUUUGUAUGUUGGAAUAGGAUUGUGGCUAAAUUUGCUUCUAGCUGUUUAAUUACUUUAUUAUGAUUGUGAAAAACAGUGCUUCUUCAAGUAUUUCCAAGGAAAAAAAUAUAAAAUAUAAAGGUUGAACUAUUUCAGUCUUUUGCAGAUAUCUAACCUUGUCAUGAAAAAGCACUUUUCAUUUUUGUAAGUAGGCAUUGAAAUCUUGCUUCUUCAUUAAAGCUAGAUUGUAUAAUUUGUUAAUUUUCUCCAUCUGGUAACACAUCCGUAAGAAAAAAAAUGCCAAAAGUAAAACAUGAGAUGGAUUUUUAAAUAAAUGUUGUGGAUGGACAGAUACA